AACGAACGCUGGCGGCAGGCUUAACACAUGCAAGUCGAACGCAUCGCAAGAUGAGUGGCAGACGGGUGAGUAACGCGUGGGAACAUACCCUUUUCUACGGAAUAGCUCUGGGAAACUGGAAUUAAUACCGUAUACGCCAUACGGGGGAAAGAUUUAUCGGGGAAGGAUUGGCCCGCGUUGGAUUAGCUAGUUGGUGGGGUAAAGGCCUACCAAGGCGACGAUCCAUAGCUGGUCUGAGAGGAUGAUCAGCCACAUUGGGACUGAGAAACGGCCCAAACUCCUACGGGAGGCAGCAGUGGGGAAUAUUGGACAAUGGGCGCAAGCCUGAUCCAGCCAUGCCGCGUGAGUGAUGAAGGCCUUAGGGUUGUAAAGCUCUUUCACCGAUGAAGAUAAUGACGGUAGUCGGAGAAGAAGCCCCGGCUAACUUCGUGCCAGCCGCCGCAGUAACAC
rnacentral:rRNA from 1 species